GUGGUAUUUGGACAUUUGGAAUUUGGAUUGUGAUUUGGAGUUGCAGUUCACAAUGGAGUUUAUUUAUGUUUACAAAUUUUCAAGUAUAUUAUCUGAUAUUAUAAAAGAGUGAGAACUAGACUAUUUUUUUGAUUUAUUAAGUUUCAUUUAGAAAUAGAGAUCAUUCCAUUCUAUAACUAAUAAAAUGCCCGGAGGAACGACUUGUGCUGUUGCUAUAUGUAAAAAUAACUCAAAAAUAGUUAAGCAAAGUGGAGAACCUAUUAGAUUUUUUUCCUUUCCUAAGGAUCCCAACAUACGCACAGAGUGGAUCAGGAAAUGUUUUAGAAAACAUGAAUUUUCAGUGGACCAUGCACGUAUUUGUAGUAAACAUUUUAAGUCCGAUGACUUUGAAGACUCACUGCAUGCUAAAUUACUCAAUUUUUAUCCAAAAAAGCUAAAUAAAAAUGCAAUUCCUUCACUGUUACUAUGUAAUUCCGGAAUGGUUCACACACAAAAAGAUUCUGAGGAUAGCAUUGAAAUGGCGUUGAAAAAUGAAAUAAAAAAUGAGAGCUUAUCCAUAGAUGAUGAUGAGAGUCUUGCAGAAGAAGCAAUUAAAAUAUUUUUCUUAGAAGAAGAAUUGUGACCCAACCUGAUGUUCUUGUAGAAGUAUCUGUUGAAGAGAAUCUGCAAGCAAUGAUAAGGGCUUUGCAAGAGGAAAUUACUGCCUUAAAAAAUCAAAAUGUGUCGAUUUAGAAAACGAAGUCUUACAAAGUGAGCAACAGUUAAAUAAAAUGAAUAGUUCUUUUGAAGAAAGUGCACAAGCUUUAUUUAAAGAUGUGUUAACAUCAAAUCAGAUAGAUAUAAUCUUGAAAAAUCAAAAGCUCGAUGGAACAAUGAGGAACUUGCUAGAGCUUUUACUUUAAGAUAUUUGGGGAAAAAGAGUUACAUCUUUCUAAGGGAGUCAAAUUAUCCCCUUCCUGGACUAUCAACUUUACAAAAACGGGCAGCCAGCAUUAAGAGACGAAAUUUUUAUAACAGAGAAGACUUAAUUGAUGGAUGGAAAAACUAGAGACUCUAAGUGCCAAAAUCAUACUUUUACUGAAGAGGCAAACUCUUUCCACGUUAAGAAGUUUUUGAAGUUGGGAGCUAAUUAAAGCCAAACCAAAGCAUUUAUGAAGAUAGAUCCAGGCAGAAUUCCUUUGACCUUUCGCUUCAUCUCAGAGGAUUAAAUUGGUAAAAUAAGAUGUUGUCAGUUGUGAUUUAACUUGAGAGCAAACAAUGUUUCUGUUAAACAAGCAGGGAUGGUUUAAAAGCAUAUUUUUAGUUUGUUACUUUUAAUUCAACUCAAUUUUUGUACACUAAGAGACGUGUAUUGUAACGCCGUGACGUGAUAAAUUACCAUGAAAAAAAAUUCUAUUUAUGUGGGGUUGUUCACCACAUACGACACGAAG